AAACUUUGACCUCAAAUCAGGUAGGACUACCCGCUGAACUUAAGCAUAUCAAUAAGCGGAGGAAAAGAAACCAACAGGGAUUGCCUCAGUAGCGGCGAGUGAAGCGGCAAAAGCUCAAAUUUGAAAUCUGGCGUCUUUGGCGUCCGAGUUGUAAUUUGAAGAAGGUAUCUUUGGGCCCGGCUCUUGUCUAUGUUCCUUGGAACAGGACGUCACAGAGGGUGAGAAUCCCGUGCGAUGAGAUGGCCCGGGUCUAUGUAAAGUUCCUUCGACGAGUCGAGUUGUUU
rnacentral:rRNA from 1 species